AUAGUAUUAAAAUAUGUUUACUCAAUAUAUUUUUAUGUUGAUGGCAUAUAAGAUCAUCUACAAGGAGAGAAAAAAUGGAAAAUGAAGAAGAAGUACUUGAAAUUGAAGUUGAUGCAGAGGGUGAUGAAGAUCUAAGAGAAGCAGAGCAACCUGCCGUGGCAGUGGAUGGGCCAGAAGAUCAUCCACUCCC